AAAGUGAAUGGCUCAUUAGUUCCACCCCCAGGACGAGGCCCUUCCAUUGCACUACGGUCGGGCUUACACCUGCGAUUACUCCUAAUGCGGGUAACUCGGGCGCGUAAUUUUUGGUAGUCGAGACAGACCUCGU
rnacentral:snRNA from 13 species